rfam:Oryza sativa Japonica Group DNA, chromosome 2, cultivar: Nipponbare, complete sequence.
UACAAAAAAAACACUGGUUUUUGUGUUUAAAGUUUGAUUGUUCGUUUUAUUUAAAAAAAUUAUGAAAAAAAUAAAAAGACAAGUCACACAUAAAAUAUUAAUCAUAUUUUAUCAUCUAACAAUAAUAAAAAUACUAAUUAUAAAAAUUUUCAUAUAAGACGGACAGUCAAACGUUGGACACGGAAAUCUAGGGUUUAUCUUUUU